GCCAAUCUCUGCGCACCAUUAUUUUUUUAGCGUCAAACCAAUCAGUGCGCAGAAUUUUAUUCCGCACAAUAUAAACAUGGAGCCAACUGAAAUGGACUACUUAAAAUGGUCCAUCACAUUGGGUCCAAGGAGGAAGUGAUGCAGGAGCGGUCCAUGAUGAAACACCGUCGGUCUUGUGCUUUUACAAAGGCUGUUCACUUAUAUGGCAGCAUUCCUUGGACCUGCCCUAGGACCAUGCCUCAGGACUAUCUGGCAUGAUGACUCUUUGUUGUCCCCAGU